UACAGAGGGUGCGAGCGUUGUCCGGAAUCAUUGGGCGUAAAGGGCGCGUAGGUGGCGGGACAAGCGUGCGGUGAAAGCUCGGGGCUCAACCCCGGGUCGGCCGUGCGAACUGUUUUGCUUGAGCACUGUAGAGGCAGGCGGAAUUCCGGGUGUAGCGGUGAAAUGCGCAGAUAUCAGGAGGAACACCGGUGGCGAAGGCGGGACUCUGGGCCAAUACUGACGCUGAGGAGCGAAAGCGUGGGGAGCAAACAGG
rnacentral:rRNA from 1 species